rnacentral:lncRNA from 1 species
UACAAAUCAAUGCAAACAAAUAUGGAGGGCAAUGAUCGAACUAGAAUAGUCAUUAACUAAGCCAUUAAAUUCAUGCAGACUCAAUAUGCAUAAGUGUAGAUUUCGUGGUUCAAAACUCGCGUGCCUGUUCAAUUCAACUCAAUGAACAUGUCCUCAAUCAACUAUUAAGACUACAGUGACAUUUAUUUUUACUAAUAUCCUAAUAUGUUCAAACUAUAGCUUUUAGAACAGGUCCACAUUUCUAUACAAGCGAUGGAAACCUGGAAUGAAUCAGUCAUGACCUGCUAUAGUAGUCUAGAUCUAACUAUUACAUACAACAAUCAAAUGGCUUACAAUAAACUCAAAACACUUAACUAGACUCGAAACAGUCCAGUCCAAGUUAUACAGUCCAAUUUUAUGUGUGUACAAACCAAAAUAAAACUACAUUAACCUAUUACAUAUCAUUUAAGGUUCAUUUGACCAUUUAACAUCGCAAUCCAAACAAGUACAGUUCAAGGAGCAGGUGUAGGACACUUUUCAUUUCAUUUUCACUCAAAAGCUACACCAAGUGAAGUUCAUAUAUGUACCUGGAAUUACAAUGAAACAAAGGAAGAGGUCAGCAGUGACAAUAUAGCAGUCGAAACUCAAUAGUAAAACCACAGCAGCAGGACUAAUUUGGAAGCCAAACUUGCAUCAACCUAACAUAAACCAAACAUAGCCUUUGAUUGAACCCAAAUACACUCGAAAUUGAAACCAUUAAACUUCUAAAGUAUUAACACCUCAAACACAUGUUUAGAUCAUUCUCAUCUUAUUUAGCCUAGAUAUUCAAAUUGACAGCUAGAAAUUGAAACUAAUAUGAGGGAAAAACUUGAAUAACACAGUAUUUAUGGGAAUAUUUUGAAGCUUUUGGGUCUAAAAGAGCUUUCCAACUCUAAAUUGCAGAUCUAGCUUUUGGAGCUUAAAAUUCAAACUUUCAGAGAUUUUCAUAACUCUAAACCUCUGGGAAUCUGGAAAUUUUAGGAAAGCUUAAAGGAUUUUUCAGACUUUUUGGGAGUUUUUAGGGGUCAAAAGCUUGGGAAUUUUCCGGAAUUUCUAACUUUUGGAAUCUUUCAGAAUCUGGAAUUUUUUGGGUUUUUCUCAAGAUUUUUC